AUGCACGCUGGCGGCGUGCCUAAUCCAUGCAAGUCGAGCGAACAGAUGAGGAGCUUGCUCCUCUGACGUUAGCGGCGGACGGGUGAGUAACACGUGGAUAACCUACCUAUAAGACUGGGAUAACUUCGGGAAACCGGAGCUAAUACCGGAUAAUAUAUUGAACCGCAUGGUUCAAUAGUGAAAGACGGUUUUGCUGUCACUUAUAGAUGGAUCCGCGCCGCAUUAGCUAGUUGGUAAGGUAACGGCUUACCAAGGCAACGAUGCGUAGCCGACCUGAGAGGGUGAUCGGCCACACUGGAACUGAGACACGGUCCAGACUCCUACGGGAGGCAGCAGUAGGGAAUCUUCCGCAAUGGGCGAAAGCCUGACGGAGCAACGCCGCGUGAGUGAUGAAGGUCUUCGGAUCGUAAAACUCUGUUAUUAGGGAAGAACAAAUGUGUAAGUAACUAUGCACGUCUUGACGGUACCUAAUCAGAAAGCCACGGCUAACUACGU
rnacentral:rRNA from 1 species